CGUCUGCCUCUCACUGUUUCCCAGCUCUUUGGCCAGAAGGAAGAAACGUUCUGACUUCAGUAAUGUGUGAUCUCCAGGAGACAGAGAAUUGGCAGAAUUCUGAAAAUGAAGACUCUUUUUCCAAAGUGAAUUGCCGGCCAUCAGCAGAGCUUCCUUGGGGCAGUGCAGACCCGGCUCUCUACUGACCAGCAAGGCAGACCAGCCGACCAAGCUCUGAAAUUCUCUGGUUCAGUGAUUGCUGAGUAUAUGAGCUACACCUGGGAUGUGCUCACAGGGGAGCAAACCCAAGACCCUCAGGCCACUAUUCAGCCCCAUCACUUUACUUGUCUCUGGAAUAGUAGCCAAGUCAAGAGGGGACCCACUAUGACCAGUCAUUGGUGCUGUGAUCUGACAGGUAAAUAAUGUGUGUAAGUAGAGGACACUCAGAAUAAAGCUCAUUGAAUCACUGCA
rnacentral:lncRNA from 1 species